GACGAACGCUGGCGGCGUGCCUAAUACAUGCAAGUAGAACGCUGAAGGAAGGAUCUUGCUCUUUCUGGAUGAGUUGCGAACGGGUGAGUAACGCGUAUGUAACCUGCCUGGUAGCGGGGGAUAACUAUUGGAAACGAUAGCUAAUACCGCAUAAAAUUGAUUAUUUCAUGAUAGUCAAUUAAAAGGUGCAACUGCACCACUACCAGAUGGACCUGAGUUGUAUUAGCUAGUUGGUGGGGUAACGGCUCACCAAGGCGAAGAUACAUAGCCGACCUGAGAGGGUGAACGGCCAAACUGGGAAUGGGAAAAGGCCCAGAAUCCUACGGGAGGCAGCAGUAGGGAAUCAUCGGCAAAGGACGGAAGUCUGACCGAGCAAAGCCGCGUGAGUGAAGAAGGUUUUCGGAACGUAAAGCUCUGUUGUAAGAGAAGAAAGAGUGUGAGAGUGGAAAGUUCACACUGUGACGGUAUCUUACCAGAAAGGGACGGCUAACUACGUG
rnacentral:rRNA from 1 species